UACGGGGGGGGCAAGCGUUGUUCGGAAUUACUGGGCGUAAAGGGCUCGUAGGUGGCCAACUAAGUCGGACGUGAAAUCCCUCGGCUUAACCGGGGAACUGCAUCCGAUACUGGAUGGCUUGAGUUCGGGAGAGGGAUGCGGAAUUCCAGGUGUAGCGGUGAAAUGCGUAGAUAUCUGGAGGAACACCGGUGGCGAAGGCGGCGUCCUGGACCGACACUGACGCUGAGGAGCGAAAGCCAGGGGAGCAAACGGG
rnacentral:rRNA from 1 species